GCUUGUUUUCUUGUCCUUGACGUAUUAGACGUCGUCUAGGAUCCUCACGUUGUUCAGCAAACAGAAAAAAUGUGCUCUGAAAACCCUAGAAAAUGGAGGUUCACAUGGGAGACCCAAUCUCACACCCCUAAUCUCAAACUAUUCCUCUUCGAUUCCCUAACAAAAUCUUCAAUUCAUUGCAGAAACCUCGAGGUCCAGCUAAAUCUUCCACAAUCUCAUCUUCUUGUGAGCUGGACUGGAGAAGGUACCGAGAAGCUCUCGCUUACGGUUCCGAUUCCUAAGGUUCUGAUCGACCCCGAUUCUCCGGUGACUUUUAGAGCCCUCGAUGAUCACAUUGAAGUUAAGCUUGUGUUGCUUCUCCCCAUUGAUCACCCCAUAUUUUCCGACUUGAGUUUAAGCGAUUAUGGAGAGAAUAGUGAGGUUUUGGAUUCAGUAAAACCACUGGAUAUGGACUCUGAUUUGAAGAGUUUAUCUUCAAUGGAAGGAGUGCAUUUUUACUGCAGAAGUUGCUCAACUAGAUUGACUAGAAGUUGCAUCAGUUCAUAUGUAGACAGUUCGUGGAAAUGCCAUCAGUUAACUGGCGAGAGAUGGCUGACAACUGGUUUGGAGCUUGCUGUUGUUCAUUUGAGUGAGAAGCUGGUGAAUAGGUUUGCAUUUGCUUAUACAUGUGCAAAGUGCAUUUUCUUGUUAAAUUCUACAGCUGUUAUUCUUUCCAGGGAUGAUUUUGUAGGAUGUAAAUUUACUGACUGGGAUGGAAUUCAAAAGCACGAGCCAGAUAGAAUUUUGCUGGUGACAAUGGUUUAAGUGAAGGUGCGAUGCCAGAUUUUGGAUCUAGUUUGAGAAGAUAUGCCAGUUGUGUGAUAGUCAUUGCGAGAGAGUGGAUGCUAAUGGGACUUUGAGGUCUUUGCAUCUCAAUUUUAAUAACCAUGCUGAGAACAUCAAAUGUAAAGGGAGGAAGAACCCACUGCGAAUGGAUUAUUUUCUGUGCCAUCAGCAUCAGAUCUCUCUGAAAAUGUAGCAUUGAAACUUGGAUGUUGCCAUUCUACAUAUUAUGCUCUAGAUUAUGUUGAAGUAAGCACACACAAGGUGUCAAAGCUUUCCUUAGCAGACCAAACAAAGAAUAAAGCUGUGAAGGCCAUGGAAAAUCGGAGAUCUUUUCUAAAUGGUUUUCUUGGAGAUGUUUUUAUGGCUAGAUCCUAUAAUCUUUCUAUGGAUAUUGAGUGGAAGCAAUUUGUUUGCCCUCAGUGUUCAACUGUUCUUGGAGCUUAUCCUUGUGCUGAUGGUGAUAUCCCUGUAGAUGAUGGAGAUAGAUUUUAAAAAUCCCAUUUCUUCCUGUUCUGUCUAUUAAACUAUUUAACAAUCUGCAGGGUGUCAGAAGAUUGGGUGACAAAGAAUCUAGCACAUGAAGUUUUCAUGUUGCCGAGUCUAAUAGAAGAAUCGACUGAAAAAAUCACAUCCAUGAAGGAUCUACUUCCACCUUCUUCUACUUUCUUGCGGGAUUUAUCCCUGUCUUUCAUGCUGAGGUAAUGCUUAGCCAUAUCAAUGGAAGUACUCAUACAGAGCUAAGUAAGAGGGGAUGGAAAAAUGAUUAUGUGGGCCAUGAGCUCACAACCGCUAUUUAUUUCAAUUGAUUAACGUUAUUUUCUUUCAAUUUUAUGUCUUACUAUGACUUGUCAUUGGUGAUAAUUGUUAAAAAUAAUUUAUUGUAGUUAAUAGACUAGUAAGUAUAUAUUUAAAAAGAUUGAUUCAUUUAAAA
rnacentral:misc_RNA from 1 species